rnacentral:rRNA from 1 species
AAUAGAUACCCCGGUAGUCCACGCCGUAAACGAUGAGUGCUAAGUGUUAGAGGGUUUCCGCCCUUUAGUGCUGCAGCAAACGCAUUAAGCACUCCGCCUGGGGAGUACGGCCGCAAGGCUGAAACUCAAAGGAAUUGACGGGGGCCCGCACAAGCGGUGGAGCAUGUGGUUUAAUUCGAAGCAACGCGAAGAACCUUACCAGGUCUUGACAUCCCCUGACAACCCUAGAGAUAGGGCGUUCCCCUUCGGGGGACAGGGUGACAGGUGGUGCAUGGUUGUCGUCAGCUCGUGUCGUGAGAUGUUGGGUUAAGUCCCGCAACGAGCGCAACCCUUGAUCUUAGUUGCCAGCAUUCAGUUGGGCACUCUAAGGUGACUGCCGGUGACAAACCGGAGGAAGGUGGGGAUGACGUCAAAUCAUCAUGCCCCUUAUGACCUGGGCUACACACGUGCUACAAUGGAUGGUACAAAGGGCUGCAAAACCGCGAGGUUAAGCGAAUCCCAUAAAACCAUUCUCAGUUCGGAUUGCAGG